GCUCCGGUGGCAUAGUGGUUAAAGCGUCUGCCUCUGAUGCGGGAGGUAGUGGGUUCCAUCCCUGGCCGAGCCA